rnacentral:tRNA from 3 species
GCGCCCGUAGCUCAGUGGAUAGAGCACAGGUCUCCGGAACCUGGAGCGUAGGUUCGAUUCCUACCGGGCGCACCA